rnacentral:rRNA from 1 species
UACGUAGGGAGCAGGCGUUAAUCGGAAUUACUGGGCGUAAAGCGUGCGCAGGCGGUCUCUUAAGACAGGUGUGAAAUCCCCGGGCUUAACCUGGGAACUGCGCUUGUAACUGAGAGGCUAGAGUGUGGCAGAGGGGGGUGGAAUUCCACGUGUAGCAGUGAAAUGCGUAGAUAUGUGGAGGAACACCGAUGGCGAAGGCAGCCCCCUGGGCUAACACUGACGCUCAUGCACGAAAGCGUGGGGAGCAAACAGG